GGGGAAGUAAUUUUCACACCAGAUCUUCCUGAAUGAGGGAGCCCUCGCUUCAGAUAAGAGUCUGACUUUUGAGUUCUGGUCGUGUCCUGGUCUGGUGGUUCCAUGAGGAGGAGGAUCUUUGGUUCUGUGUUCAUUUCAGUCAGCAGCUGGGCCUGGAUUGGGCAGUGCCUGCAGGAAGGAGACACAACCAGCCUCCAGAGUUAGACAACAGCAAAGGUCUUUGGAUAACUGGUUCCCAGAUUUUGCUACGCAUUAAAACUUUCUUGGUAACUUCGAAGAGUCCCAAUGCCCAAAUUAUAGCAUGUGGCAGAGACACCCAAGGUGACCCCCAGUGAGUCACAUCCUCCUGGUGAUUGAGGGUGGAGCCUGUGACUUGCCUCCAACCAAAAGAAGUGGUAAAUGUGGUGGAUGUCACUGCCUCGAUAAGGGUGCAUUAUGCGGCAAAGGGGCCUCCCUCCUGCAAUGACAUUACCAUAAAUUUACAUAAGACUCAACCAGCUCUUGCUGUCUCCUGCUGGCCUUGAAGAGGGAAACAGCUGUGAGCUGUGGCAGGGAACUGUGGGUGGCCUCUGGGACUGAACGUGCAUCCAGCUGACAGCCAGAAAAGCAGAAGCCAUCAGUCCUACAACUGCAAGGAAAUGAAUUCUGCCAGCUGAGAGCACAGCCCGGCUACACCUUGGUUGCAGCUGUGUAAGAACCUGAGCAAGGGGCCCAGCCAAGGUGUGUCCCAACUCCUAAACCUUGGAAACUAUGAGAAAAUAAAUUUGUGCUGUUUUAAGCCACUAAGCUUGCUAAUUUGUCACGCAGCAACAGAAAAUGAACAUUUGCCCCGUUCUAGUUAUGUCAGAAUUCUCACGUGAGAUCACGGCAUCAGUGUCUUUUUAACUCUCCAGAUGAUUCCAAAAGGCAAUAAACAAUUUAAGAACCAGCGCCUGGACCACUGGGUGAGGUUAGUUUUCACAGACAUUAGGCCCCUUUAUCCCUCCUUUCUCUCCGAGCAAACCUGGUCUUAGACUAACCGAUACCGGAGCCGGUCUCCACAGGCACUCCCCGUAGCCAGGGUCCAC
rnacentral:lncRNA from 1 species